rnacentral:lncRNA from 10 species
UAACACACCCACUAUGCGCAGGCACUGGUUAGCACUGCUUAGGCAGACUGUGGCUUAGGCUUGAAUACUGCAAUGGAUCCUGAAGGUGCUGCAGGCUGUAAACUGACUGCCCUCCGUUUGGCACAUUCUCUCUAGAAGUAAGAUCUGAGAGGAGCUCCAUCAUGGCUGCCACAGAGACUCGGAGAAGUGAGAAGAGCUAGGCAGCUUCCUCUUUAUCCAAAGGAGAUUCUCUCCCUUGUUGAUUGGAAAAAGCCAGCUGCCAUGUUGUGAGUAUCCCAUUUAAAAGGGCUAUAUGGCAAGGAACCGAGGGCAGCCUUCAGCUGACAGCCAGCAAGAAACCAAGAUCCUCAGUCUGGUAGCUUGCAAGGCACUGAAUUCUGCCAACAACUGCGUGAGCUUGGAAGUGGAUCCUUCCUCAGUUAAGCCUUGGACAAGACCCAAGCCCUGUUGGACGCUUUAAUUACAGCCUUGCAGAGAACCCAGCUAAGGCAUGUUCAGACCUGAUCCACAGAAACUGUGAGAUAAUCCAUGUGUGUUGUUUUAAGCCUCUAAGUGUGUGGUAAUUUGUUACACAGCACUGGUUAGCUAACACAGAUACCUAGACAGCUGGUAAAGCAUUAUUUCUGGAUGUGUCUGUGAGGGUGUUUCUGGAGGAGAUUGGCAUGUGAGUCAGUGAACUCUGUGGGCAAGAGCUGCCCUCAAUGUAGGUGGGCACCAUCCAAUGUUGUUUUGUUGUAUCUAGGGGCCCAGAUAAAACAAAAAGGCAGAGGAAAGGUGAAUUCACUCUCUCUCUCCUGAAGCUGGGGUACUUUUAUCUCUUGCCCUUGGACAUCAGAACUCCAGGUUCUCUGGCCUUUGGACUCUGGGACUUGCACCAGCUCCCGGCUUCUCAGGACUUCAGCCUCAGAUUGAGAGUCACUCCAUUAACUUUCCUGGUUUAAAAGCCUUUAUACUUGGACUGAGAAACACCAACAGCUUCCCUGGGCUUCCAACUUGCAGAUGACCUAUCACAGGACUUCUCAGCCUCCAUAAUCGCAUGAGCCAAUUCUCCUAAUAAGUCCCCUUUCACAUAUCUAUUUAUCUACAUACGUAUAUCCUACUGGUUCUGUCUUUCUCAGGAACCCUGACCAAUAUAGUAUGUAUCUCUAAAAGAUAAGGACAUCAAAAAAUAUUACCGCGUCUAAAAAUAAAGUGAUUUCUUAACGUCAUGAAAUAUCCAAUUGCUCUCCAAAUUUUCACAAUUACAAAAGUCCACAUGUUGCAUUUAAUUUUAAUGCCUCUUAAUUCUCCCUUAAUUUUGAGAUUGCCUUUUAAGUAAGGCAGUUUAGCUCCCUAGUUUCACUCUAGCCCAUCCAAGGUGUUUCCAAAAACCUCACCUUCACACUAACCACAUCCAUUAUAAGCUGCUUCUUAAACGAUGAGAGCUCUCACUCUCUAAAAGGAAUUCUAAGCAUACCUCUUAAAGUAAUAACAUAUUAUAUCUCUACUAAGUUUAUAAUCAUAAAGAAUGUGGGUAUUUGCAUUCUCAUUUUACAGAUGGGAAAAUUAGUGUAGGUAACACAUAUAGAGAGGUGAUAAAUAGCAAUGGUUUCCAAGAAUGAUGACGAUUUCAGUGUGAAACAGAGAGUAGCAAUGGCAAGAGAUACAGCUAAGUAAAUGUGGAUGGUGAGGGACCCAUUCUGCCUUGUUAAAAGGUUUGAACCCACCCUAUAGACAAUAAAUCACUCAGUGAAUCACUGAGCAAUUUUAAUUAUGGAAGCAAUGUGAUCAGAUUUAUAUUUAAGGCAAGAGGAUUGGUGGCAAUGUAGAAGGCAAACACAAGUCAGAAAGAGUUAGAAGUAAGAAAAGUGAGUAGUCUGAAGAAAUUGGACACAUAAGAGAUGAGGGGGCUGGAAUGACUAACUAUGCAUCUUAUUCUGAAAUAUGUCUCUUAGGUAAUUGAUUAUUGAUACCCCACAUCCAAAUAGUGGGACAGUUAACUGAGAUGUCAGAGCCAGCCUUUUCAACACUUCUAGAGAGAAAUUUUGCAAAGACACAUCUCUUGUACCUCCAUGGACUUUUAAUACAGAUAUGUUUAUCAUAAGAUAACCUUCUAAAGAGCUCAUGAUAGCAUAUGAUCAAACUCCUUAUUGUACAGUCAGGAGGAAUCAGCCUUGUUGAAGGAAGGGGCUUACCCAAAGUUACAAGUUGGGACAAAAUUUUUGCUUCCAAUUCACUGCUGUUCUUACUAGAACUGUUUUCUCCAGUCUCAUAGAAGUUCUGAGAAACAAUUAGGCCCACACUAUCAUCAACAGGCAAAUAUGUGUGCCUGACCAGACAGACAGAGAGGUAUUUUGAGAGAGGCCAGGAAUGAAACUGGUGAAGAGGCCCAGAGUUUCAAUCCUGUUCUCACUCAAGAUUCAUCAUCAUCAUCAUCUUUACUAUAAGGAAGAGGGCAUUUAAAAGCACAAAUGAGAUUGUUAGUGAUAAAAAGGUACUUAUACACCAGCCAAUUCCAUCCUCCAUUUUGCUGAGGCUCAAAGAGGUACAGUGACUUAUCUUCGGUUAUGUAUGCAACUAUUGCAGAGCUGGAUAUUGGACUUAGGCCUCCUGAAGCCCAGCACUGUGCCUGCAGGAGCAUUCCCAACUCCUGUCUUUCUGCUCAAUACAUGGGGAAGAGACGAACAAUUUAGGCUACUCAAAAUGUGGUGGGCAUUUGGGCUCUGGGGAGAGCUUCAGCAUCUCUUCUCUCUUUUCAUGUUCUCCAACUCCUCAAGCAACAUACACACAUAGCAUAAAGAUCACUAGCCAGCUAUUUUCUGUCUUGAAAAAUUUUUAUGAUAAGAGUUUUCUAAUUAGGGAAAGCCACAGUUCAUACACAAAACACAAAUUACUAGGCUCUUUGUCUUUUUCAGAAGAAGUAUUAAUCCAUAAAUAAAUAUACUCUGUUGCCAAGUCACUACCAUGCUGUAUCACAUGGCCAAAGGAUGCCAAAAGGUAUGAGCUCUUGGUGAAUCCCAGCUAUUGACAGCCAGGUGCUGGACCUUAACCAGAGGCAUUGCUAUAGGUGGUUAAGUAUAUGGGCUCUGGUCAGUGGUGACAAAGUUCCUGGGUUCAAAUCCCAACACCCCCAGUUACUAGUUAUGUGACCUUGGACAAGUUGAUUAAAAUCUCUGUACUUCAACUCCUUUAUUUGUAAUAUGGAAAUGAUUUUUUAAAUUACCUAUCUUCUGGGUCUAUUGCAAAAUUAUCUUAUUUAAUAAUAAGAUAAUCCACUUAAGGCACUAUAUGUGAGUUUUUGCAUGUAGUGAGCACUUGAACCAAUAGAGUAUAUUUCCUUUUGAAUGUAAGAAAUUCACAGAGACAGCUUCUCUAUAGUAAAGGUAAGAAUCAAAACUGAGUUUCUAUAAAUUACUUUGUAUUGCUUAGAGAAAGAAGUCAUGGCAAUAGAUUGAAUAUAUUUUAAUUUAAAGUAGAAAAUUAUAUAGGAAAAAUAGAUAUAUCUUCCAGAGCUCAGUCUCAAAGGCCACAUUUUCUUUUGAGUAUUUUAACCUCCAAAACAUACUUAGUAUGUGGUGAAAUUGCCUACUUCUGGGUUGAGUAAUGUGAGCUAUCAUUACCAUGGUAACAACAAGGCCAAUAACUUGAACUCCAGUCAUAGUAGCUACAAUAAAGGGGACUCAGUUUGGAAAUAAUUAGAAUCCAUCCUUUUUGAGACUGAAAUUCAUUGCCUUUAAGACUCAAUCAACAUUCCUGGUGGUAGUCUGGAAUCAGCUCAAAUCAAGAUACAUCUAUCUUUAAAAAGAAUAUAGGACAAGAAAUCCAAAAUAGGAAAAAAAUCAAAUCAUCUUAUCUUUCUGGUGCAUUUACUAGUCUGAUGAGUCAUAAGAAAAUAAUAACCCAGAGGUUAGAAACAAAGACAUAAGCACAAUUCCUUUCAUUCCAUGGGUAAAAUUGAA